rnacentral:lncRNA from 1 species
GAGAUGUUGUCUUUGGGCCACAUCUUAUUGCCCUCGGAACCAUUGAGGCUCAUUAAAAACAUGUGGAUGUGAUGGAGCCAGGGCUCCAUCACCCGUGACUUCGCAGGCUGGCCUGGGCUCUUGGACCUGGCCCAGGCUUCGCUGGCCAUGGCCCGCGCAGUCCCUUCUCAUGGCUUUGGAAACUUCACCUGCAGGUGGCACUCUUAUCUGGGUGAGAAACUAGCAUAUGGGAACCAUACUCAAGACAAGCAGCUCCGAGAAACCGCCAAGCACAGGGCUCUUCAAAUCAGGAAGGUAGUAGAUACCCCACUGGUCCCCUUUCCUCCUUAUGGGGGGCAGAUUCUCUAUCCCCAGGAGAGGAAGCUUUCAUUUGGCCAGUUACUCCAGUUUUGUUCAAAAUAAUUUAUUUACGAGCCUUACAAAAAUACAUUGGCAAGAGAAAAAAAAUAAAAGUCCUCUAGGAACAGGC